rnacentral:rRNA from 1 species
CUACGGGUGGCUGCAGUGAGGAAUAUUGCACAAUGGGGGGAACCCUGAUGCAGCAACGCCGCGUGGAGGAUGACGCAUUUCGGUGUGUAAACUCCUUUUAUAUGUCAAGAAAAUGACGGUAGCAUAUGAAUAAGCACCGGCUAACUCCGUGCCAGCAGCCGCGGUAAUACGGAGGGUGCAAGCGUUACUCGGAAUCACUGGGCGUAAAGGACGCGUAGGCGGGUUGGAAAGUCAGGUGUGAAAUCCUACAGCUUAACUGUAGAACUGCACUUGAAACUUCUAAUCUAGAGGAUGGGAGGGGGAGAUGGAAUUAGUGGUGUAGGGGUAAAAUCCGUAGAUAUCACUAGGAAUACCUAAAGCGAAGGCGAUCUCCUGGAACAUUACUGACGCUAAGGCGUAAAAGCGUGGGGAGCAAACAGGAUUAGAUACCCGCGUGGUC